rnacentral:rRNA from 1 species
GGGGGGGGGGGGGGGGGUGCCGGAGGCGUGCGGGUCGGGGGGGGGCGGCGGGUCGCGGGGCGCACGGGUGGGUGCCGCGUGGGAACCUGCCCAUAGGUGCGGGAUACCUCCCCGGACGGGGUGCUACUACCGGAUAAUGUCUGGGGCCCCCAGAUUUAUCGACUUUGGCUGGGCCCGCGUUGGAUUAGCUAGUUGGUCGUGUAAAAGCGUCCCAAGGCGACGAUCCAUCGCUGGUCUGAAAGGAGGAUCAACCACACUGGGACUGAGACACGGCCCAGACUCCUACGGGAGGCAGCAGUGGGGAAUAUUGGACAAUGGGCGAAAGCCUGAUCCAGCAAUGCCGCGUGAGUGAUGAAGGCCUUAGGGUUGUAAAGCUCUUUUACCCGGGAUGAUAAUGACAUUACCGGGAGAAUAAGCUCCGGCUAACUCCGUG